GUAUGCUCCUAAUCACUUGUAACACCCCAAAUUUGAAGAAAAUGAAGAAUCAGAUUUUGGGUUAAAUUGUUCAAUUUAGACAGAUUGCAGGAAGAUUUCUGAUCGAUUCAAAAGUUUGAACCAAAAUCUAUGAAUAGGCAAAAGUUUGAGGACUAAAGUGCAAAAGAAGAAAAUUAGGGAUACACUCGGGUUUAUGCUUUCCGAAAACGAAGGGAGAGUUUUUGGCAACUCAAAUCUUGAUCUUUCAACCCUGAUGUUAAGUAUAUAUAUGCGUCUUGAAGCCCCAGAGAUUUAGAUGCCUAUUCUCUUGUCAAUUGGAGAUUUUUGGUUGAUCGUGCUUCUCCGUAUGAGUGCUUUAGUUCUGGGUUGUUUUCAGCUAUGGUAGAAGAAUUUGAUAGCUAGUGGAAUAUGGGCAAACACUGUAGGGGGCAAAAGGGUUCUUGGCUUCGGCGUUAUCUGGUGGUCAAUCGCCACAAUUCUCACUCAUGUAGAUGCUAAACUCGGCCUUCCAUACUUGCUCGUUGUUCGUGCUUUCAUGGGAGUUGGAGAGGGUGUUGCAAUGCCUUCUAUGAACAAUAUAUUGUCGAAGAGGGUGCAUGUGCAAGAGAGAAGCAGAUCACUCACGCUUGUUUACAGCGGAAUGUACCUUGGAUCUGUCACCGGUUUAACAAUCUUCUCUACUGGUUAAUUAAUUUGGUUUAUGUAAACUGCUUUCUUUUGUUGGUUUGGAUACAGAGCUGUAGAGUAUCUCCACGAGCGUUGUCGUCCUCCGGUUAUCCAUAGAGAUAUUAAGUAGUCAAAUAUUCUAUUUGAUUCUUCCUUCAAUGGCAAGGUAAAUAACUUGAAUCAUUGUUGAUGAUUCUGUUGUGAAUUUGUUUCCUAGACUAAAACAGAAACUGUUUUAAAAUUAACAAAAGGCAUGAAUUUAAAAAUUAGUAAGUCUCACUAAAAAUUUCAAAUGUGAAUAAGCUGUGUCUACAUAAUGUGUUUCUAAAGGAAAUAUGUGGCUAACACAAAAUUAAACAAACUUCACUUAAACAAUAGUGCAUAUAGUCUAAGAAACGGAAAAUUUCUUUGUAGAUGAAACAACCAUCACAUACGUGAUCAAAAUCUCCAACAACGCACUCGUCAUCAACUUUAAUUUGAGUGAGGAGCAUAUCGUACUCUUGGUAUUGCCUCACGUUUAACUUCAGAAUUACCUCACCACAGUUUUUUUGGCAUUGUCUAACAGCUUGAAAUCCUUGAUUUUUCCAAAGUUGGGUGAUAUAGUUGGAUCCUUCAUCUAUUUUCCCUUCACCGAUUAGAAUCAUCUUGUAAACAUACAUUGCUUCGGAAUGAGUAUCUCUAGCUGCGUAAGAGAUCUUAGCAAUACCUGUAGCAAUUUCUUUUUUGAAAUAGUAAUCUAUAAGACCAGACAAGAAGAUAGCGUGAACAUUCCCAUUUUUUGCACAUUCAACUAAAAAUUUGAAAUUUUUAGGAAUCUCAUUUCAUGGUGGUGGAAAUACUUCAGUGAGAUUAAGAUUCUUCCACACGUCUGGAAAUUUGGAGAUAUGAAAUAAUGCUUUGCAUGAAGUAAGGGAAGAUACGAAGUCAAGAGCAGAAGAUUCUCCAACCUUACCAAGUAUGACAACUAGCAUGUCGUCGGGAAGAAAUUAGUUAGAACUGGCUGAAAACACUUUUUACUCAUUAUUUAGUUUUUGAUAUUUGAAUUGAUGUAGAAGUGUAUGCCUUUGGUUCUAUUUAUAGCAAAA